rnacentral:rRNA from 1 species
AUGGUGUCCUGGAGCGACAGUGAAAGCACUGAGGGCUCUGCCGCGCAGUACAUCUCCUCCGACGACUCCCCUCUCAAGAUCCCAGCUACAAUUGAUGAGCCGUCGUUCGAGGGUCUUGCUGACGACUUGAAUGUGAUUUGUGAGCAUGGGAAUCCAGGGAGGAAAUAUGUUGCAUUUGAGGGGAUAAGCACUGGUAGGAGGAAAUUUGUUUGCAGCAUUCCAGGUGUUGAAAAUUGUGGAUUAGUGCAGUGGGUAGAUGAGCAUUGGCCAGAGCAUCUACAGAAUGCUAUUCAUAAGCUGUGGCUUAUGUAUGAGCAUAGCCAGCAUGCUAAGAAGAUGGCAUGCCUGGAGCAUUCAAGCACUGUACACAAUCUCACACAGCAGGAGAAAGAUUUGCAGGAGACAUAUGAGAAGCUUGUUGAAGAUGUGAACAACCUACUGGAUUAUAAGGAUAGCCAGCCUGAGGUAAACCAGAAGAAUGAUGCUAAGAACAUUUCAGUGAGUGUGGAAAGCAGCAUGACAAAGGAUGCUGGGAUCAAAAAAUUGAAGGCUGUUGUUGACCAGUUAAAGCAAAUUCAUGUAGCUCAAGCCAUCUUAAAGAGAAGGAAAAGUUGA